rnacentral:rRNA from 1 species
GAUGAACGCUGGCGGCGUGCUUAACACAUGCGAGUCGAACGAAGCAUUUGCGACAGAUUUUUUCGGAAUGAAGUUGCUUAUGACUGAGUGGCGGACGGGUGAGUAACGCGUGGGUAACCUGCCUUGUACUGGGGGAUAGCAGCUGGAAACGGCUGGUAAUACCGCAUAAGCGCACAAUGUUGCAUGACAUGGUGUGAAAAACUCCGGUGGUAUAAGAUGGACCCGCGUCUGAUUAGCUAGUUGGUGAGAUAACAGCCCACCAAGGCGACGAUCAGUAGCCGACCUGAGAGGGUGACCGGCCACAUUGGGACUGAGACACGGCCCAGACUCCUACGGGAGGCAGCAGUGGGGAAUAUUGCACAAUGGAGGAAACUCUGAUGCAGCGACGCCGCGUGAGUGAAGAAGUAAUUCGUUAUGUAAAGCUCUAUCAGCAGGGAAGAUAGUGACGGUACCUGACUAAGAAGCUCCGGCUAAAUACGUG